AUUAGCUCAGUCGGUAGAGCAGCGGACUGUUAAUCCGCGUGUCGCUGGUUCGAGUCCAGCAU
rnacentral:tRNA from 1 species